rnacentral:rRNA from 1 species
GAUGAACGCUAGCGGGAGGCUUAACACAUGCAAGUCGAGGGGCAGCAUAGGGUAGCAAUACUCUGAUGGCGACCGGCAAACGGGUGAGUAACGCGUAUGCAACCUACCCUGUACAGGGGGAUAACCCGGAGAAAUUCGGACUAAUAUCCCGUAAUAAUAUCCGGAGGCAUCUUUGGAUAUUUAAAGUUUCGACGGUACGGGAUGGGCAUGCGUAACAUUAGCUGGUUGGUAAGGUAACGGCUUACCAAGGCUAUGAUGUUUAGGGGUCCUGAGAGGGUGGUCCCCCACACUGGUACUGAGACACGGACCAGACUCCUACGGGAGGCAGCAGUGAGGAAUAUUGGUCAAUGGGCGCAAGCCUGAACCAGCCAUCCCCGGUGCAGGAAGACGGCCCUAUGGGUUGUAAACUGCUUUUCCAGGGAGAGAAACUUACGCACGUGUUGCGUGACUGACGGUACCCUGGGAAUAAGCAUCGGCUAACUCCGUG